CCUACGGGAGGCAGCAGUAGGGAAUAUUGCACAAUGGAGGAAAGCCUGAUGCAGCGACGCCGCGUGAGUGAAGAAGUAUCUCGGUACGUAAAGCUCUGUCAUCAGGGAAGAACAUGACGGUACGUGACUAAGAAGCUCCGGCUAACUACGUUCCAGGAGCCGCGGUACUACGUAGGGGGCAAGCGGUAUCCGGAUUUUAUGGGGGGAAAGGGAGCGUAGACGGCAGCACAAGUCUGGAGUGAAAUCCCGGGGCUUAACCCCGGAACUGCUUUGGAAACUGUGCGGCUUGAGUGCAGGAGGGGUGAGCGGAAUUCCUAGUGUAGCGGUGAAAUGCGUAGAUAUUAGGAGGAACACCGGUGGCGAAGGCGGCUUACUGGACUGUAACUGACGCUGAGGCUCGAAAGCGUGGGGAGCAAACAGGAUUAGAUACCCCUGUAGUC
rnacentral:rRNA from 1 species